UACGUAGGGAGCAAGCGUUGUCCGGAAUCAUUGGGCGUAAAGCGCGCGUAGGUGGCUUCGUAAGUCCGUUGUGAAAGUCAAAGGCUCAACCUUUGAAAGCCGAUGGAUACUGCGGAGCUAGAGUACGGAAGAGGCGAGUGGAAUUCCUGGUGUAGCGGUGGAAUGCGCAGAUAUCAGGAGGAACACCAAUAGCGAAGGCAGCUCGCUGGGACGUUACUGACACUGUAGAGCGAAAGCGUGGGGAGCGAACAGG
rnacentral:rRNA from 1 species